AGAGGAGAGUAGAGUAGAGUAGAGUAGAGUAGAGUAGAGUAAAGUAGAGUAGAGUAGAGUAGAGGAGAGGAGAGGAGAGGAGAGGAGAGUAGAGUAAAGUAGAGUAGAGUAGAGUAGAGUAGAGGAGAGGAGAGGAGAGGAGAGGAGAGGAGAGUAGAGUAGAGUAGAGUAGAGUAGAGUAGAGUAGAGUAGAGCCUCCCAACAAAAGUGUCACUAAUUCACACUCUCACCACCUCACCGUCCCACUCUCAUUCCCUUCCAGGGUGAACAGUACCAGAACAGAACUAGGUUCUCUCACCCACUCCCACUAGAGAACAAUACCAGAACAGAACUAGGUUCUCUCACCCACUCCCACUAGAGAACAAUACCAGAACAGAACUAGGUUCUCUCACCCACUCCCACUAGAGAACAAUACCAGAACAGAACUAGGU
ensembl:lncRNA